rnacentral:rRNA from 1 species
CAGUAGCCGCGGGAAUACGUAGGGUGCGAGCAUUAAUCGGAAUUACUGGGCGUAAAGCGUGCGCAGGCGGUUGUGUAAGACAGGUGUGAAAUCCCCGGGCUUAACCUGGGAACUGCGCUUGUGACUGCACAGCUAGAGUAUGGCAGAGGGGGGUGGAAUUCCACGUGUAGCAGUGAAAUGCGUAGAGAUGUGGAGGAACACCGAUGGCGAAGGCAGCCCCCUGGGCCAAUACUGACGCUCAUGCACGAAAGCGUGGGGAGCAAACAGGAUUAGAUACCCGAGUAGUCCCUGUCUCUUAUAC